rnacentral:rRNA from 1 species
UACGUAGGUGGCAAGCGUUGUCCGGAAUUAUUGGGCGUAAAGCGCGCGCAGGUGGUUUCUUAAGUCUGAUGUGAAAGCCCACGGCUCAACCGUGGAGGGUCAUUGGAAACUGGGGAACUUGAGUGCAGAAGAGGAAAGUGGAAUUCCAAGUGUAGACGGUGAAAUGACGUAGAGGAUUUGGAAGGAAUCACCAGUGGCGAAGGCGACUUCUGGUCUGUAACUGACACUGAGGCGCUGAAACGCGAUGGGGAGCCGACGGA